rnacentral:rRNA from 1 species
GACGAACGCUGGCGGCGUGCUUAACACAUGCAAGUCGAACGGAAAGGCCCUGCUUUUGUGGGGUGCUCGAGUGGCGAACGGGUGAGUAACACGUGAGUAACCUGCCCUUGACUUUGGGAUAACUCCAGGAAACUGGGGCUAAUACCGGAUAGGAGCUCCUGCUGCAUGGUGGGGGUUGGAAAGUUUCGGCGGUUGGGGAUGGACUCGCGGCUUAUCAGCUUGUUGGUGGGGUAGUGGCUUACCAAGGCUUUGACGGGUAGCCGGCCUGAGAGGGUGACCGGCCACAUUGGGACUGAGAUACGGCCCAGACUCCUACGGGAGGCAGCAGUGGGGAAUAUUGCACAAUGGGCGGAAGCCUGAUGCAGCAACGCCGCGUGCGGGAUGACGGCCUUCGGGUUGUAAACCGCUUUCGCCUGUGACGAAGCGUGAGUGACGGUAAUGGGUAAAGAAGCACCGGCCAACUACGUG